UACGUAGGGUGCAAGCGUUAAUCGGAAUUACUGGGCGUAAAGCGUGCGCAGGCGGUUGUGCAAGACCGAUGUGAAAGCCCCGGGCUUAACCUGGGAACGGCAUUUGUGACUGCACGGCUAGAGUGUGUCAGAGGGGGGUAGAAUUCCACGUGUAGCAGUGAAAUGCGUAGAGAUGUGGAGGGACACCGAUGGCGAAGGCAGCCCCCUGGGUCAAGAUUGACGCUCAUGCACGAAAGCGUGGGGAGCAAACAGG
rnacentral:rRNA from 1 species